rnacentral:tmRNA from 3 species
GGGGACGUACUGGUUUCGACAGGUGCGUGGAACGAGGAUAAGCGAGCUGUGGUGGUGAUCCACGUAAAAAGUACCCGUUAAAAAGAAACGCUAAAACAAACAACAAUUUCGCACUGGCUGCAUAGUUCAGCCCCGCGUGUCGGCCUGAGUUCGUCUGCAGGCACAGGAUCCGGCAUCAUUUAUGCAGAAAAACUCUUGCGUGACCGCCCGGCAUCGUAAGAGUAUCUACGGGAUAGCAUGAUGUGAGUCUGCCGUGUGACGCUCAUCAUGUAAAAUCAAAUACCCGGCUGCGCUCGGAGAAAGUCUUCCGGAAAUACUCUUGGACGUGGGUUCGACUCCCACCGUCUCCACCA